AUAUUGCAUCUGUGUUUGACAUAGUAUUGGUUGGUUUUGAAUUUGUACACAAGCUAAAGUAUAUAUUAGUAGAUAAGAUGUGAAUGUCUCACUGGUUGCAAACUUUUUUUUAUAAGCUUUGAGUUAUUGUUUAAUUGCAUUAUCUGCAUCUACUUUGUUGUUUUCGCCACAACCACAAAUGAAAGUUUUAGAAUUAUUAAUUGUUAUGUUUUUUAACGGCGCUUGCGGACAAGGUUGCAGCUUCAGGAUUCUAUGUUGUGGUUCCUGAUUACUUCUACGGAGAUCCUUAUGAUCCCUCUCAUCAAGACAGACCCGUCCCUGUCUGGAUCAAAGACCAUAGCCCUGAUAAGGGGUUUGAAGAUACAAAGCCAGUACUUGAAGCCAUAAAGAACAAAGGCAUAACUGCCAUUGGAGCUGCAGGGAUGUGCCGGGGUGGAAAAGUGGUUGUGGAAUUGUCUAAAGAAGAGCUGAUCCAAGCAGCUGUUUUGCUUCAUCCUACUUAUGUCACUGUCGAUGAUAUCAAGGCCCAACAGAUCAUUACAUGAUCAUCCAUCAAAGACAUUGGGCCUUCUCUCAGCAAAGUCCACUUCAGCACCUUUAGCUCCAACGGUAACAGAGGACAAAAGUAGAACGACAAAAGGAGCUAAACGUACGGAGAUCACACCUCAUACAAUGCAGCUCAACAACAGAUAUGAAGCUCUUAUGGAUCAGGAUUGCUAGCUGUCAGAGACACCUGUCAGAAGUCUAGAUUGUUCUCUCACUAUGUAUAAAUAUGAGUAGAGAACCAUUGUAAACAAAAUGAGCUAAUUUGAUGAAUAAAAGUCAGUAAUAUCUUCAGAAACC